ensembl:lncRNA novel transcript
UGGAGAACAGUCUUACAAAUGUAACGAAUGUGGUAAGCCUUUUUAAAAAUCAAAUGGUGCUGGGAUUACAGGUGUGAGCCACCGCUCCCAGCCUCUCUGUACAAAUUUUUUGCCACACAAAUCUGAAAAUACCACCUUGAUUUAUGGAUCCUCCAAGUUUUUCACUGAAGUACAAGGGAACAAAUGUAAAUCUAUAAAUUGGGUUAAAUGAUUUCUAGGAAAGUGUAUAAUAAUAAUAACAAUUAUUUUUUUGAGACAGAGUCUCUGUCACCCAGGCUGGAGUGAAACUGUGUCUCAAAAUAAAUAAAUAAAUAAUAAAUAAAUAAAUAAUAGAAAUGAAGUUUUGCUAUAGUUGAGAAAUUAUAGAAUGCCAUGCUUAUUAUGAUAACCUCAUACAGAAAUUUUUACAGCUUUUUGAAAAAUGGCUUUUUUGUUAUUCAAUUUUUAUAGUCUUAUAAACAUUAAUUUUCACAAGACUAGUGUAAAAAUAUUGUAGACAAUUUGUCUAAGCAGUAUUUCGGAAGCACUUUCAACAGUUAUGUAAAGGGUCCUAUUUAUGCUUGAAGAAAGGACAUGUAUAAGGUUUUUAGCAUGAGGAAAUUAAGUCUUUCUCAACCUAGAAGUCAGGAGUUUCAAGAGUAAACAUUCAGUGUUGAAUUAAAGAAUCUGAAUCUA